CAGUCGCCGCGGUAAGACGAACCGUGCAAACGUUACUCGGAAUCACUGGGCUUAAAGCGCACGUAGGCGGCGACAUAAGUUAGAGGUGAAAUCCCAUCGGCUCAACCGUGGAACUGCCUCUAAUACUGUGUUGCUUGAGGGAGAACGGGGCAUUCGGAACUUCCGGUGGAGCGGUGAAAUGUGUUGAUAUCGGAAGGAACGCCGGUGGCGAAAGCGGAAUGCUGGGUCUCUUCUGACGCUGAGGUGCGAAAGCUAGGGUAGCGAACGGGAUUAGAUACCCGGGUAGUCCCUGUCUCUUAUA
rnacentral:rRNA from 1 species